GUGAAUGUGGGUCACAGGACAUCGCACUAGAACUGUUACGAGGUGCUGAUGUUGAGCAGAGAUCAUCCGUUCAGCCCAGAUGGUAAUUGACUCGACACCAGACCCCUGCGUCUCGUUCUAUUUCUCUUCCUGGGACAUCAGAACUUUUCCUUUGCAGGUUUUUGGAGGCUUUGAAAUCCAGACUCAGAAGUGGAGGUGGAUCCCAGCAGGAACAUGGCCCAUCUCUCUGCCCCAGAGGAGACGUACUGCCACAGGGUCCAGAGAUGAGCCUUUGCCUGUCCGCUCUGGCGCUCCGUGUGCUGAUGUCAUUUCCCCUGCAGCUGGGAUGAGAAAUUCACAUCAGUACUCAGGUGAAGUCCUUAUGAAACCGUGUCCAUAUCUCAGCCGUUUACCGCCCUGCAUGCAGCUUGAUGUUAAAAAACAGAGGAAGGCUGGGAUCUAUCUAUCUAUCUAUCUAUCUAUCUAUCUAUCUAUCUAUCUAUCUAUCUAUCUACCUACCUAUCUGUCUGUCUGUCUGUCUGUCUGUCUAUCUAUCUAUCAUCUACCCAGUUUUUAGAGGCACUUCAAUUUUUUUUUUUUUUGUUUUUGGCCUUUGAGUGAAAUAGUCCGUUUUUAAUUACCAUUAAAUUACUUUCGUUAAUAUUUUUCUGUAUUGAACAGCAUGGAAGCCUGUUUCUGCCACCAGAUGUAAAAAAAUAAGAAAAAAAAAAAAAAAAAAAAAUAUAUAUAUAUAUAUAUAUAUAUAUAUAUAUAUAUAUAUAUAUAUAUAUAUAUAUAUAUAUAUAUAUAAUAAAAAGUUAAUUGCAAGAUUUUAUCUAACAAUUCAGAUUUUGUUAAUUAACUUAUAUUUUCUUGUAAUUCUUAGUUUAUAUCUCACAGUUUUUAUUUAUUUAUUUAUUUAUUUAUUGCAAUUCUGGGGGGGUGUCUGAAUUGCGAGAAAAAAA
ensembl:lncRNA